GAUGAACGCUGGCGGCGUGCCUAAUACAUGCAAGUCGAGCGAACGGACGAGAAGCUUGCUUCUCUGAUGUUAGCGGCGGACGGGUGAGUACACGUGGAUAACCUACCUAUAAGAUUGGGAUAACUUCGGGAAACCGGGGCUAAUACCGGAUAAUAUUUUGAACCGCAUGGUUCAAAUGUGAAAGACGGUCUUGCUGUCACUUAUAGAUGGAUCCGCGCUGCAUUAGCUAGUUGGUAAGGUAACGGCUUACUAAGGCAACGAUGCAUAGCCGACCUGAGAGGGUGAUCGGCCACACGGGAACUGGGACACGGUCCAGACGCCUACGGGAGGCAGCAGUAGGGAAUCUUCCGCAAUGGGCGAAAGCCUGACGGAGCAACGCCGCGUGAGUGAUGAAGGUCUUCGGAUCGUAAAACUCUGUUAUUAGGGAAGAACAUAUGUGUAAGUAACUGUGCACAUCUUGACGGUACCUAAUCAGAAAGCCACGGCUAACUACGUG
rnacentral:rRNA from 1 species